rnacentral:rRNA from 1 species
AGUGAACGCUGGCGGUAGGCCUAACACAUGCAAGUCGAACGGCAGCACAGGAGAGCUUGCUCUCUGGGUGGCGAGUGGCGGACGGGUGAGGAAUACAUCGGAAUCUACUUUUUCGUGGGGGAUAACGUAGGGAAACUUACGCUAAUACCGCAUACGACCUACGGGUGAAAGCAGGGGACCUUCGGGCCUUGCGCGAUUGAAUGAGCCGAUGUCGGAUUAGCUAGUUGGCGGGGUAAAGACCCACCAAGGCGACGAUCCGUAGCUGGUCUGAGAGGAUGAUCAGCCACACUGGAACUGAGACACGGUCCAGACUCCUACGGGAGGCAGCAGUGGGGAAUAUUGGACAAUGGGCGCAAGCCUGAUCCAGCCAUACCGCGUGGGUGAAGAAGGCCUUCGGGUUGUAAAGCCCUUUUGUUGGGAAAGAAAUCCAGCUGACUAAUACCCGGUUGGGAUGACGGUACCCAAAGAAUAAGCACCGGCUAACUUCGUGCCAGCAGCCGCCGUAA